rnacentral:tRNA from 1 species
CAACUGUAGCUUAAAUAAAGCAUCUCGCUUACACCGAGAAUAUGCCUGAUAAACCCAGGCCAUUUUGA